rnacentral:ribozyme from 14 species
AAAAAACAAAGGAAAAAGAAAAAAGAAAAACUGUCACCCAAGAUUCACAGCCUCCUUUUCCUUGUUGUUCCCGUCCGCCUCUUCUUUUUUCGACUCUUUUUC